GUCACGAUAGUUCAAGUGGUUAGAGCAACGGCGUGUCUUGUCGAAGGUCGCGGGUUCGAAUCCCGCUCGUGACA